UAUCAGGCCUACAAGCUCUGUACAUAGCAUAAUACUGGUGGUGGGAGAACAUUGUGUAAAUAAAAGCCACAGGUGCUGCAUAACUAGAAGCCUCUCUGAGCUUUAUUGGGGCAACCGCGCCCUAGGAAGAGGGGCGGGCAGAGGACUGGUCACAAGGUCCCUUCUAACUCUAUUAUUCUAUGAAUAUAGCUGGAUCUGAGAGAAGAUACAGGUCUGAGUGAUUCUGUGCUGUGACUCUGAUCGUACACUGUUGAGCUGCCGUGCUUGAAUCCGAUGGUCUUUUCAGGUUUGAGUCACUGGAACAAUCCAGAGAUCUAACAUUGGCCCAAAGUGUGAAUGAGCCACAAGUAGCACAACAUGUUGGGGAAUGAUUCUUCCCUCAGCAUUUUACACAAUGAACGUGUGCAUCAGAUGCCAGGAAGACCACUGGCAAGACACGCAGCGUUUGAACCCAUGUUUCUUCAUGCUAAGGGAGCAAGCUGAGCCAGGGGUUCUCCACAUGGCUGAGACUGACAGGAAAGAGCCUCACCCAGGACGCUGUAGAGGGAGUUCUGCUGGCUGAAGCCCCCGAGCCGGUCCAGCACACUCUGCAUGUGCUUCCUCAGGGCACUGGACUCCAGGAAGGCUCUGCACAGAAGCAAAAACAUCAGGUCAGGGCUGGGCAGGAGCCGCUGGCACACAAGCUGGAGGUGAGGCAGCACUUACCUGGACUGCUGCAGGCAAUGGAGCCGGAACGUGACGCUCCCUGUUGUCUCUGUGCGGAAACCAAAGCGGCUCAGGCACUCUCCCUGU